rnacentral:rRNA from 1 species
CCGCCUGGGGAGUACGAUCGCAAGAUUAAACUCAAAGGAAUUGACGGGGCCCCGCACAAGCAGCGGAGCAUGCGGCUUAAUUCGACGCAACGCGAAGAACCUUACCAAGGCUUGACAUAUACAGGAAUACGGCAGAGAUGUCGUAGCCGCAAGGUCUGUAUACAGGUGGUGCAUGGUUGUCGUCGGCUCGUGUCGUGAGAUGUUGGGUUAAGUCCCGCAACGAGCGCAACCCUCGUUCUGUGUUGCCAGCAUUUAGUUGGGGACUCACAGGAGACUGCCGGGGUUAACUCGGAGGAAGGUGGGGAUGACGUCAAAUCAUCAUGCCCCUUAUGUCUUGGGCUGCACGCAUGCUACAAUGGCUGGUACAAACGGCUGCAAUACCGCAAGGUGGAGCGAAUCCGAGAAAGCCAGUCUCAGUUCGGAUUGGGGUCUGCAACUCGACCCCAUGAAGUCGGAGUUGCUAGUAAUCGUAGAUCAGCAACGCUACGGUGAAUACGUUCCCGGGGCUUGUACACACCGCCCGUCACAUCACGAAAGUCGGUAACACCCAAAGUCAGUGGCCCAACCGUAAGGAG